GGGCGCAUAGCUCAGUUGGUAGAGCAGCUGACUCUUAAUCAGCGGGUCCCGGGUUCGAAUCCCCGUGCGCCCACCA
rnacentral:tRNA from 1 species